rnacentral:lncRNA from 1 species
AGGUUCACACAACAGGAAAGAAGUAAAAAUUGCCCAUGAUGUAUGAUCCUGGAAUCUUACUUACCAAAGUUCACACACAAGACAAAGUGAGAACAGCCAAUGAUAUAUGAUGCUGGAAUCUCACUUACCUAAGUUCACACACAGGAAAGAAGUAAAAAUUGCCCAUGAUGUAUGAUCCUGGAAUCUUACUUACCUAAGUUCACAC